rnacentral:tRNA from 1 species
GCGGGUAUAGCAUAGUGGUAGUGCGGGUGCUUCCCAAGCACUUGGCGAGGGUUCGAUUCCCUCUACCCGCU